rnacentral:lncRNA from 10 species
CCCUGGGGAUGGGAGGUGGUGGGGGAGGAGGGGAGAGCUUCAGAGGCCGGGACCACCCUGGGCAGGGCCAAGCUCCAGGCAGCUCCUCUGGGGCCCUCCCAUGGAUGUGGAGUGGGGGUGCCGUCAAGAGCAGCAGCCCAUGGCCUGGCCCUGCUCUGAGAAUCCCCCUCAGAUGUCUCCAGCCACUUGGCCUGUGCCACCACCCCUCAUCCCCCCGAGCAAUUGCUCUCCAGACACCAGACCUGGGCCGGGGAUGCUGGUUUAGGGGCCCUGGUUCCUAAAUGUCACAAGCCAAAAGAGCAGGUGAAGGUGGCUUAGCAGGGCACAUGGGGCAGGGGUCACAGGCCUCCCGGAGGGGCAGCAGUAGCCGGGGGGCAGGGGGCUCAAUCACCAGCAGCCUGAGGACCCAGGGCACCAGGAGCCCCGCAGAGGGGCUCGGUUUGUCUCUUUGCAGGGCUGGGAGCUCUGCAAGGCCUGGGAAGCGGGGAAGGACCUGGCAGGUUGGCAUUGAAAAGAGUGGCUGCGGGGGAUGGGGCGGGGCAUGGAGCUGGAAGGCUGAGCCAGGGUGAGGCAGCGGGGAGGGCAGAGGGUGGACCUGGAGAGUGGGUGAGAGGGCAGAAGGGGGCUGGGCGGAGCGGGGUGCUGUUCCAGCCUCACCACGCCCUGCCUUCCCGGCUUCCCCUGGGCCUGGUCUUCCUGAGGUCACCCCGCCUCCUCCUGUGUCCAGACAGUCCUGACCUGGACACACUGCCUGCUUCCCCAUCCCGGCUCCACCCCGAUGUUGGCAGGCCACUUGACCUCCUGUGCCUCAGUUUCCUCAUCUGUAAGAGCGGGUCCCAAGCUGUUAUCUGUGGUGUGUAGGGCACCAGCUCUGUGGCCACGGGGGACAAA